UACGUAGGGGGCGAGCGUUUGUCCGGAUUUAUUGGGCGUAAAGAGCUCGUAGGCGGUUUGGCAAGUCGGGUGUGAAAACUCCGGGCUCAACUCGGAGACGCCACUCGAUACUGCUAUGACUCGAGUCCGGUAGGGGAGUGGCGGAAUUCCUGGUGUAGCGGUGAAAUGCGCAGAUAUCAGGAGGAACACCGGUGGCGAAGGCGGCACUCUGGGCCGGUACUGACGCUGGAGGAGCGAAAGCGUGGGGAGCGAACAGG
rnacentral:rRNA from 1 species